UACGGAGGGGGCUAGCGUUGUUCGGAAUCACUGGGCGUAAAGGGCGCGUAGGCGGCGAAUUUAGUUAGGCGUGAAAGCCCCGGGCUCAACCUGGGAACUGCGCUUAAUACUGAUUUGCUAGAGACCGGGAGAGGCGAGUGGAAUAUCCAGUGUAGAGGUGAAAUUCGUAGAUAUUGGAUGGAACACCGAUGGCGAAGGCAGCUCGCUGGACCGGUACUGACGCUGAGGCGCGAAAGCGUGGGGAGCAAAC
rnacentral:rRNA from 1 species